CCCUUAGAUGUUCGGGGCCGCACGCGCGCUACACUGAAGGACUCAGCGUGUCUCUCCCCCUAUCCCGAAAGGGAUGGGCAACCCGUUGAACCUCCUUCGUGCUAGGGAUUGGGGUUUGCAAUUAUCCCCCAUGAACGAGGAAUUCCCAGUAAGCGCGAGUCAUCAGCUCGCGUUGAUUACGUCCCUGCCCUUUGUACACACCGCCCGUCGCUCCUACCGAUCGAAGAGUUAGGUGAAUUGUUUUGAUCGAUAAGAUUUGACUAUGGUCAACUCUCGUUGUGAAAUUCUGUGAAUCUGACUGUUUAGAGGAAGGAAAAGUCGUAACA
rnacentral:rRNA from 1 species